rnacentral:rRNA from 1 species
UACGUAGGGUGCGAGCGUUGUCCGGAAUUAUUGGGCGUAAAGAGCUCGUAGGCGGUUUGUUGCGUCGGCCGUGAAAACCUGCAGCUUAACUGUGGGCCUGCGGCCGAUACGGGCAGACUUGAGUUCGGUAGGGGAGACUGGAAUUCCUGGUGUAGCGGUGAAAUGCGCAGAUAUCUGGAGGAACACCGGUGGCGAAGGCGGCAUCCUGGAUCGGCAUUGACGCUGAGGCGCGAAAGCCAGGGGAGCAAACGGG